GCAUAUCAAUCAGCGGAGGAAAAGAAACUAACAAGGAUUCCCCUAGUAACGGCGAGUGAAGCGGGAAGAGCUCAAAUUUGAAAUCUGGCAGCCUUCGGCUGUCCGAGUUGUAAUCUAUAGAGGCGUUUUCCGUGCCGACCCAUGUACAAGUCCCUUGGAACAGGGCAUCAUAGAGGGUGAGAAUCCCGUACUUGACAUGGACCUUCGGUGCUCUGUGAUACGCUCUCAAAGAGUCGAGUUGUUUGGGAAUGCAGCUCAAAAUGGGUGGUGAAUUCCAUCUAAAGCUAAAUAUUGGCGAGAGACCGAUAGCGAACAAGUACCGUGAGGGAAAGAUGAAAAGCACUUUGGAAAGAGAGUUAAACAGUAUGUGAAAUUGUUGAAAGGGAAACGAUUGAAGUCAAUCAUGUCCUUGGGCCUUUACGGGUCCUUGGAUGGGGUCAACAUCAGUUUCGUCCGCCGGAAAAGGGCUGGAGCAAUGUAGCACUCUCGGGUGAACUUAUAGGCUCCUGUCGCAUACGGUGGAAGAGACUGAGGAACGCUUUUACAGGAUGUUGACAUAAUGGCUUUAAACGACCCGUCUUGAAACACGGACCAAGGAGUCUAACAUAUCUGCGAGUAUUUGGGUGUCAAACCCGAGUGCGCAAUGAAAGUGAACGUA
rnacentral:rRNA from 1 species